rnacentral:lncRNA from 1 species
UUUUGAUUCUUUUGGCUGCCUGUAGCCACUCAAGCAAGCCUUGUAGGAAGAAAAGUCAACUUCAAGUUGUCCAGUUACUAGAAGCAGGUUCCUACCUGAGCACUCCAGGAUGCUGGAGAUCAGACAAAUUCAGUCUAUAAAUGCAAUUCAAUUCUUCAGAGCCGUAACAGACCUGUACCUGCAACUUCACAUGUGCUGCUGACCAAUGGUAGCAUAAGGCCCUUUCCCCACGGAGCUAAUGGAUAACCCCAUGGACCAGGAGCUGCGGGCUAGAGCGAGACCUCCAAGUUGUGACACGCUGCUAACUUGUGGCAUGUGGGACACUACAGAGCAGCAGAGAAGGCCAGACAACUGGAGUUAUGCACACCUAGCAGGAAGACAGUCAAGAAUACUGCAGGUGUCUGCAAGCUACAUAUGGCAUUUUUGGUGGCUGCCCUUGGAUCUCAUGCAAGCCCAGGAGGUUUAUCAGCUGGAAGUGAAAGAGAAGUGUUUUGCUGAAUCUCACAAUGACUGACAACUGCUGGAGCUCUGCAACAGCAGGGAAGGGAAAUAUUCUCUGAGAUGUUCCCCUGGAUGUUGCAUCAGGGGAAGCAUAUCCAGGAAACAUGUGGGAUUCCUGACUACUUUUGUACAAGGCACUGGGGAGAUCCUCAUGAAGUUCAACAAGGAGAAGUGCAGAGCGCUGCACCUGGGGAGGAACAACCCCAGGCACCAGUACAUGCUGAGAGCCACCCAGCUGGAAAGUAGCUUGACAGAAAAGGACCUGGAGGUCUUGGUGGACACGGAGUUGAACGCAAGCCAGCAAUGUGCCCUUGCUGCCAAAAAAAAAAUAUAAAAAAAUGCUGAUAGUAUCCAGACUGCAUUAAGCAAAGCAUUGCUAGCAGGCCGAGGGAGGUGAUCCUUAUUCUCUGCUCAGCACUGGUGAGGCCACAGCUGGAGCAUUGCAUCCAGUUGUGUGCCUCCCAGCACAAGAGAGACGUGGUGCUACUGGAGAGUCCAACAAAGGAGUCAGGGACUGGAGCACCUCUCCUAUGUGGGCAGGCUGAGAUAGGUAGGACUGUUCAGCCUAGAGAAAAGAAGGCUUUGGGGGGAUCUUAACAAAAUAUAUGUAUAUCUACCUGAAGGAAGGGUGCAAAGAGGAUGCAGGCAGGUUCUUUUCAGUGGUGCCCAGUGCCAGGACAAGAGUCCAGGGGCACAAAGCGGAGCACAGGAGGUGCCCUCAGCACCAGGCAGCCCUUCUGUGUGCUGUGCGGUGAUGGAAGCACUGGCACAGGCUGCCCAGAGGCUGUGGAGCCUCCUUCUUGGAGAUGUUCAACAUCCAACUGGACACGGCCCUAGGCAGCCUGUUCUGGGUGUCCCUGCGUCAGCCUCCAGAUGUCCCUGCCAGCCUCACCCUGUCUGCAAUGCUGUGAAAUCCUGAAAGAGGCAGCAUCCAGGAAAAGUGUUACUGAAUUGAGAUAGGGAACAGGAAAUAAAGGACUGUGUAUUUAGUUUAGCA